CGGGAAUCUACAAACUUGACAGGAAUGUAAUUGGCACAAACAUUGAUUGCCCAGUAUAUGCCAAUGUAGGAGACAACAAGCCCAAACCAGAUUCAGUGUCUUGUCAGUGGUGGAAAAGACCUUCUGGAGUAGCUGCAGUGUGUCUGGGACUGCUGAGUGUUCUGCUACUGGCUGGGAUCAUAGGACUGUCUAUCUACUAUGGAGUCAUUGGGCAUCAAUAC